CCCACCUCAGCCUCCCAAAGUGCUGGGAUUACAGUUGAGUUAUAGCUGCUGCUGCCCUGGUGGUGAGGGGUGUCUCAACAUCUGUCCCAUGUCUCUUUCGUAGAAUAAUAUCCUCCCUCAGCCCCUUUCCCCUGUACCUUCACUUCAAGGCUUGCUGUGUAGUUAAUUCUGCCUCAGGCAAUUUUUCUCAUCUGGACUUUUGUCUUCCUCAUUCCACUUAUUCUGUUUUCCAAUGCUUAUCUGGGAACCUCAAGGAAAUCUCUUCCAACCUUUCUUUGCUGUUGGUGUAUUCCUAUUCAUGAGUUAAAACCCAAACCAAACAUACUCUAAUCAGGGCAGUUGAACUUGAAAAGAGCCAGUGAGAAACCUGAAAGGAGGAAAAGCCUGGCCACAAGGCUCCAAGUGAAAUGAAACUCAUAAACACCAGCUUCCUCAACCUUGAAAGCUUCUAAAAGUGCCCCUAAGCCUCCUUUUGAAUCACUAAAAGCCUCCACUUACCUCCCUGUCUUGCUCAAAUAAAAUUUCCUCUUUCUCAGCCACCAGUCUUAAAAAAAAAAAAAAGCAAAACAAAACACUUCACACCUCCUUCUUACUCAGUUUUACACUGGUGGAAAGAGAACAGGAUUUAGAGUUGGAAGGCCAACGUGAGAGUCCUGCCACCACUUAGUAGCUAUGUGGCUUUGGAAAAGUUUCUAGGCUUUCUGUGCCUAAAUUUCUUCUACAGUGACAAUAUUACUGUGUAUUACCAAAUUAUACACUGUGAUGUGGUCAAGUUUAUGUAUGUGAAGAACUCUUUCAAGCUAACAAAGCACCAUAUUCAUUCAUGUCAGAUAUUUCUAAUGUUACACCAGUUUUUAAUAUCGUGUUUUAUUUGCACAUACAUAACUUAAUAUUUUAAUUACAUUAGAGGCUAAGAUAGUUUUCGACCAGCAUGAAAACUAAAACACCAUAACAUGCCUUUUAUGGUGAAAUGUGUUUGAACUUCAAACAACAAGUUUACAAAACUUAUUAUGUAAUAUACCCUAUCAGUAAAUUAAUUGAAGGCUGCCUCUAGAUUGUUAGGUGUGGAUGACAGGAACUUUAUUUCAUACUUCUUUUGUACCUGCCAUUGGUGUUUAACAUAGUGUUGGGCGCGUAACAGGUGAUUAGACAGUCUUGUUGAUAGUUUGGAGAGCCGCCUUAAUCAUGACCUAGAAUCUUUCUUAUUUAAACAGCAGUCUAAGUGCUUUGACUAAUGUUAAACUGACUAAUUUGUUUUGACGCUGAGAAUGAGAAAUUUGAGGUCCUUCUCAGAGAUCUGUGUUGGUGGUGUACUAUUUCUUUUUAUCCCUGAGUUGGAUAAAUUAGGGUAAACAAAAUCAAAUACUUGUAAAAAUACUGUACAGAGGACUCACACAUGUAUGCUGGUUCCCUAGCAGGGUAAUUCCAUCAGUGCCUUAAAAAAAAAAAAUUACAUUCCUUCUCAACCAGUCAUGAGAGCCAUUUUCCAAUCUCUUAUCUUGUUGGGGUGUGUUAGAAAAAUAUACCAAGUGCAAGAACCUGUAAGCCUGGAGUUUAUUAACCUGCUUAAAACCAGUUUUACUUCAAAUAGGUGAUCUUUAGUGUCGACCAUUGUACUUUUGUCUGCAGGGAACAACUCGUUUCAUCCUGUCCUCAGUAAGCAGAUGAGAGGCAGGGUUGAUGUUAGACAGAAGCCAAGGUUUUGUGGAGCAGUAAGAUAAAAUUAUGAAGGAAGCCUAUUGAAUUCCAGGAGAGUUUAAAGAAAAGGGUAGGAUACUUAGUUCACAAGGGUAUGGGUGGGCUUCUGAGUGGCGGCAGCAGGCUAGACCUGGGGAUGUUCCAGUACAAAUUCCUAAAUGUAUGCAGAGGUUGUGUAAUUGCAUUUAUCACUGUUGAAUGUGUUAUUGGUUUGAUUUGGUUUCGCUGCUCUUAAGUUCCUUUUGUCUUAUCUUGCAAGCAUAUCACUGUGAGUACUUAAAUCAUUAACAACUCAUUAAAACUCUUUUGGCCAUUUUCAUUUUCUACCAAGCUGAAACCUGGGUGUGGUAGAAACUUGCGCAGGCCUGCUUGGCUGUGCCACCUGAGCAGCUCCUAGCAUUUUGGCUGUCAAAAGGCCACUGAAUAAACAAACGGAUAAGAAUGGCGGACAUAAUCUCUGUAGAUCCUUGAAAAGAAGGAAGGGGCUGCAGGAUACAGGAAUAGUCAAGGAUCCUUCUCUUCAACCUGAAGGACUCUUCAGCAGUUAACACCUUGACUCUCUUUUUAUGCAACACUUUUUUAGUACUCUCAGAAACUCUAUUUAUACUUGCUCUUUUCUUCUUUCAGGAUUUCUACAGCUUCAUUUAGAGACUGAAAGUGCUUUUAGUUUUGUUACCUCAUUUAUUCUCUAGGGGCAGGAAUUAAGGUCUUGAUGGAGAUGAAGUGGGCUGUGGAGGCAGUCUACCAUAGGCAGUUGCAGUAGCUGUUCUUCUGGUUACUUGUUGAGAGAGAGAUAUAUAUGUACACAUACAUAUACACACACGCACACAAAUAUACACCUUACCUUAUUCCAGGGACAGUGUCACAGUUUAGGAUCUCCCCGAAGAGAAUUUUAGUAUUUGUAAUUUUUGUAUAUUUUAAAUAGCUUAUUUGUUUAUGGCUUGUAAGUAAAGAAAAAAGGUUUCUCUGCUUUUGACUUGAACUGUUGAACUAUUUGUCCCUUGGUAAACUGAUCAAUUGCCACGUGGAUUAAGAGAAAGCCAUUCAAUCAAUCAAAAUGUUUCUGCUACAUUGGCAUGCUUUGUAAUGGAAAUAAAAACGACAGCAUGUUUUUGUCAGUUGAAAUGAAUAGGUUUCUUUUAGAUCGAUGCUGAAGUUGGUAUUAUAGGUAAUCUAGCCUAUGAAUGCUAAUGAUUAAUUAUGGAAAUGCCUAAUGGAAGCACAUGAACUUACCCCUAGAUCUUAUAGAUAUAUCUACCUGAUGGUGAAGUAUAUGCCAGGGUUGGCAUUUCUCAUGAGUGCUGGUGUGAUCCGCAACAUAGCCUCUGUGGUACCAGAGGGCCCUACACUGUCGUCAAAGACAUUCAACUCAGUGCAUUAAAA